CAGCAGUGAGAAUAUUGGUCAAUAGCCUAACGGCUGAACCAGCAACUUGGAGGAAUGUAUAGCUAAAGCUAAUUGUAUUUUUUAAAAAAUACAGAUUCGAUUUAUUCGUAUAAAAUUCUAGGUAGAAUUAUGAUAAUGACAUUAUCUAUCUAUAAGUCUUGACCAACAUGCGUGCCAGCAGUCGCGGUAAGACGCUAAAGACUAGUGUUAUUCAUCUUUAAUAGGUUUAAAGGGUACCUAGACGGUAAAUAAAGCCUUAACCGGGACUAAUUUAACUAGAGUUAGAUGUAAGGGUGCAUUAACGUACUAUUGAGUGUAGAGAUGAAAUUCUUUGAUACCAGAUGACUGGCACGGGUUUAGGCGAAAGCAUCACCUUAUGUAAUAACUGACGUUGAGGGACGAAGGCUUUGUGUCGCGAACAGGAUUAGGUACCCCAGUAGUCUAAGCAGAAAAUGAUGAAUGUCAUAGGUUAAAUAUUAUUUAGUCUAUAAAUGAAAGUGUAAGCAUUCCACCUCAAGAGUAAUUUGGCAACAUUGGAAUUGAAAUCAUUAGACCGUUUCUGAAACCAGUAGUGAAGUAUGUUGUUUAAUUAGAUAAUACACAAAGAACCUUACCACAUUCUGAAUAUUUUACAAGUGUUGCACGGCUGUCUUCAGUUAAUGUCGUGAGAUUCUGGUUAGUUCCAUUAAUUAACGUAAACCCUUACUUUAUUUUAUUUUAUAUAAAGUUGUUCGCGUGAGAUUGGUUAGAUAAAAGGGAGUAAGACAAGUCAUC
rnacentral:rRNA from 1 species